UACGAAGGUCCCAAGCGUUAUCCGGAUUUAUUGGGCUUAAAGGGUGCGUAGGCGGGCUAUUAAGUCAGUGGUGAAAUCUCCAUGCCUAACAUGGAAACUGCCAUUGAUACUGAUGGUCUUGAGUACAUUUGAAGUGGGCGGAAUGUGUCAUGUAGUGGUGAAAUACUUAGAUAUGACACAGAACACCGAUUGCGAAGGCAGCUCACUAAGCUGUAACUGACGCUGAGGCACGAAAGCGUGGGGAGCAAACAGG
rnacentral:rRNA from 1 species